rnacentral:lncRNA from 1 species
GGGCGGAGCCCUGCGAACCUUACAGUCGGUUGCUCCCGGCACCAAGGCCGCAGGCGGCGGUCGGUGCAGGGCGCCCCGCUGGCGUAGUAGUCCAUCCCGCGCAGACAGUAGUGGCGGCCCGAGCAAGCACUUUCGUAACCAUGGAAGGGCAGGCGGCCGGGCAGCGGGUCCACGCACCCGCAUCGGGGCGUGAUCCGCGGCAGCUGCUGGUUCCGCGACAGUGAGUUCAGCAUGUUCACCAUCACUUCGCGCUCUGCUCCCGCGGGUCCCCAGCGCAGGAGACCCAAAGACAGAUGCACAGGGAUGGGAAGAGGCCGAGUCACGGACAGAGUGAGGCGGAGACAAAAGCCAGGACGGAUAGAUUCAGGGUUCCACCCUCUCCAGGACCCUCGGCCUCCUCCCCGUCCUUCAGCCUGAAGUCAGUGGCUGGCAUCAGGAAGCAGAACUGGACAUGAAGUGGGGAAGAGCAAGGACAAACUGGAACUCAUGAGGAGAACAAAGUCGAAUUUGCAUCUGUCUCACUGCCUACAACAAUGAUGAUAUGGAUGGCCUUCAGGACAAGCUGGUGCCCUUUGCCAUGGAAUUGUACAUACACCUGGCCCAGGACCCAGAGAGGUUGAAGGAGAUCCAGUGGGAGCUAGAGGGGUUGUAGCCAAAUGCUGCUCUAUGGCAAUAAGGUGAACUACUAAAUCAGCAACAUUGUGCAUAAGGUGCCACAGUGCUUGGUACCCCACGUCAAUCUUCAGAGGGUAAAAAUGGCUGUUCUUUCAUUUAUUCUUUCCAAAUAUCAUGCAGAUUUCUCUCAUGGCCAAUUAGGAAACAUUUAGGAAAGGGAAUUCUUGCAAGUAUAGUUCCAG